rnacentral:rRNA from 1 species
GAUGAACGCUGGCGGCGUGCCUAAUACAUGCAAGUCGAGCGAACAGACGAGGAGCUUGCUCCUCUGACGCUAGCGGCGGACGGGUGAGUAACACGUGGAUAACCUACCUAUAAGACUGGGAUAACUUCGGGAAACCGGAGCUAAUACCGGAUAAUAUAUUGAACCGCAUGGUUCCAUAGUGAAAGACGGUUUUGCUGUCACUUAUAGAUGGAUCCGCGCCGCAUUAGCUAGUUGGUCAGGUAACGGGUUACCAAGGCGACGAGGCGUAGCGGACCUGAGAGGGUGACCGGCCACACUGGAACGGAGCAACGGUCCAGAGUCCUACGGGAGGCAGCAGUAGGGAAUCUUCCGCAAUGGGCGAAAGCCUGACGGAGCAACGCCACGUGAGUGAUGAAGGUGUUCGGAUCGUAAAACUCUGUUAUUAGGGAAGAACAAAUGUGUAAGUAACUAUGCACGUCUUGACGGUAACUAAUCAGAAAGCCACGGCUAACUACGUG